GCGGAAGUGGCGAAAUUGGUAGACGCACCAGAUUUAGGUUCUGGCGCCGCGAGACGUAAGAGUUCAAGUCUCUUCUUCCGCACCA
rnacentral:tRNA from 1 species